rnacentral:misc_RNA from 1 species
GCAUCUUCAAGAACCAUAAGUAAACUAAUCGGCCUAGGACGGCCCAUAUGAUUUGUAAAUCCAAUCAGUUUGACUGCCUUCUUAACAAUUUCUAAGGGCGCCUCAACUUUUAUGCAUAACUUUGUCAGAUCUGCCACAGUCUGAUCAGAGUAUUUCCGCUCCUCUUCUUCCUCUGCUAUCUUUGCUUGUUCCUCUAACAUCCUUUUUGCUUUGAUGGGAUUUAUGUACCUG